rnacentral:rRNA from 1 species
AAUCAACGCUGGCGGCGUGCCUCAGACAUGCAAGUCGAACGCGAAAGUUCCCUUCGGGGGACAAGUAGAGUGGCGCACGGGUGAGUAACACGUAGGUAAUCUACCUUUGGAUGGGGAAUAACAAUCGGAAACGGUUGCUAAUACCGCAUAAUGCAGCGGCACCUAAUGGUGACAGUUGUUAAAGCGGGGAUCGAAGACCUCGCGCCUGAAGAGAAGCCUGCGGCGGAUAGCUAGUUGGUAGGGUAAUGGCCUACCAAGGCGACGAUCUGUAACCGGCCUGAGAGGGCGGUCGGUCACACUGACACUGACAUACGGGUCAGACUCCUACGGGAGGCA